AAAAUUUUAGUUUAAUAAAAAUAUUUCUUUUACAUUGAAAAGAUUAAAUUUAUUUAAAAUUUUA
rnacentral:tRNA from 1 species